rnacentral:lncRNA from 1 species
GAGGAGCCUGAGCGUAAUGUUAAUGUUCUGAGUGCUUCUGAAGUGACAGGAAGUGGUGCAUAUGCCCAGGGACAAAGCCAAGUUGAGGAGCAGAACCACAGUAGCUUGAGGAAGGAAUAGGUGAGAGUAGUGAUCCACCUGCCUCGGCCUCCCAAAGUGCUGGGAUUACAGGCGUGAGCCACCGCGUCCAGCCAAUUGGUGGGUUCCUGGUCUCACUGACUUCAAGAAUGAAGCCACGGACCCUCGCAAUGCUGUUACGAACUUCCCUUAGAAUCAACCCAUUUGUGAAACACCACAUUAAUAAGAGCAGUAUCUUUGGAGAUUGGAGAGUCCACCAAGGAUGCCCACUGGCUCCCUACAAAGUUUUUUAUGUGAGGACUCGGUCUCAGGCUCAGAAGUGGAAGAGAUGUGCCUUGACUCAGAUGAGACUUUGGACUUGGACUUUUGAGUUAAUUCUGGAAUGAGUUAAAACUUUAGGGGACUGUUG